UACGGAGGGGGCUAGCGUUGUUCGGAAUUACUGGGCGUAAAGCGCGCGUAGGCGGCUUUGUAAGUUAGAGGUGAAAGCCCGGGGCUCAACUCCGGAAUUGCCUUUAAGACUGCAUCGCUAGAAUUGUGGAGAGGUAAGUGGAAUUCCGAGUGUAGAGGUGAAAUUCGUAGAUAUUCGGAAGAACACCAGUGGCGAAGGCGACUUACUGGACACAUACUGACGCUGAGGUGCGAAAGCGUGGGGAGCAAACAGG
rnacentral:rRNA from 1 species